GCCGAGACUAUAGAGUCACAUCUGGGCACUGCCUGUGGCCCUGGUGUGCUAGAGUCCUCGGACAGUAACCACUAAUCUAUAUUCACUGGCUGUGGCCAUUCCUGACUCAGUCAGUCACCAGGUUAGUGACAGGA
rnacentral:snoRNA from 1 species